CCUACGGGAGGCAGCAGUGGGGGAUAUUGCACAAUGGGGGAAACCCUGAUGCAGCGACGCCGCGUGGGUGAAGAAGCGCCUCGGCGCGUACAGCCCUGUCAGCAGGGAAGAAAAUGACGGUACCUGAAGAAGAAGCCCCGGCUAACUACGUGCCAGCAGCCGCGGUAAUACGUAGGGGGCAAGCGUUAUCCGGAUUUACUGGGUGUAAAGGGGGCGGAGACGGGGAUGCAAGCCAGGAGUGAAAGCCCGGGGCCCAAACCCGGGACUGCUCUUGGAACUGCGUGGCUAGAGUGCAGGAGGGGCAGGCGGAAUUCCUGGUGUAGCGGUGAAAUGCGUAGAUAUCAGGAGGAACACCGGUGGCGAAGGCGGCCUGCUGGACUGCAACUGACGUUGAGGCCCGAAAGCGUGGGGAGCAAACAGGAUUAGAUACCCCUGUAGUC
rnacentral:rRNA from 1 species